UCACAGAGCGCAUGGAGAUCUCAUCGAGCUCGACGAUCAUGGAGAUCUCAUAGAGCUCGACGAUCAUCGAUUGGGUACGUAAUCGCACAGCUCCGAUUAGGUACGAUCUCAAUUUUGUGACUCUUCCUCUCUCUUGGCGUUGUGUUUCUCAGCUCCGGUUAGGCUAUUCGGACGCUGAUCUCAAAGGGUGCUAGAUCUGGUUCCAAUCCAGGCCCCAAUAAGUUGUUUCUAUUGGUUAAGGCUCCCUGUUCUUUCAACCUGCCUCUGCAUUUUCUUCCCAAAUGAUUUUAAAUAUAGCAAAAAGCUUACUUGGACUUGCUACAACUUCUAUCAGUGCAUUUUUUGGGCAGAUAAAGUUUUUAGUCCUACGUGCUCGGCUCAGAAGGUUUAUGAAGAAGGUGCUAAGGAUGUGGCUCUAUCUGCACUUACUGGAAUUAAUGCAACAAUUUUCGCAUAUGGGCAGACUAGCAAUGGCAAGACUUAUACCAUGAGAGGAAUCACAGAAAAUGCUAUUAAGGAUAUCUAUGAACAUAUCAGAAAUCACCAGGAGAGGGAUUUUGUUGUGAGGGUUUCUGCUUUAGAGAUCUAAAAUGAGACUGUUGUUGACCUUUUGAAUCGCGAAUCUGGUUCCCUUCGGCUUUUGGAUGAUCAUGAGGUGGCUUUGCUGUUAAUUUGGGUUGCUAAUAUAAGGAAACAUGUGAAGAAUUUAGAAUUUGGGAAGGGACACGUAUAUAAAGCUGUGCAUGUAACCGAUUUUUAUUUCCUUUCAUUACCUUUGGCCUUAUAUAUGAUGUAUUAGGAUUUGUUCUAUUCACCUACUAUCAUGUCAGAUUGUGCAAAGAACCUUGUUUUUACAAUUUAAAACUCUUGCCCCUGUUGACUAUUGAAUUAGAUCAUAUAAAUAUUGAUGGGUUAAUCUGA